rnacentral:ncRNA from 2 species
GGAAACCACUAGGGGCGCCCGCAAGGGCUGAGAUAAAGCGCCGAACGCUUUGGUCCCUUUGAACCUGAUCUGGGUCAUGCCAGCGUAGGAAAGUGGAAUGGUACGUAC